rnacentral:lncRNA from 10 species
GGAAUUCCUUCCCCGGGACUUGGGAACCACUUCUGCCUCCCUCCCUGGGGCGUGGAGGCUGAGGAAAAGGAGUUAAUGUGUUAAGAGCCAUUGACAUUUGAAGAUCAUCAGAAGUGAAGAUAAAACAUCUCAAAAAUUAUAAUUGCCUCCACUUCUCAUUCAGAGAAUUCAGUGCAUACAAAAUCAGCUUCUGUUGUAUCAUCAGAUUCCAUUUCAACUUCUGCCGACAACUUUUCUCCUGAUUUGAGGCCCAUGCAGUCCAGUUCGGGAGCUAAGUCACUUAAACACUGUGUGAUAGUUCCUACACAUCUCAUUAUAGUUUUUCUUAGUUAUUGGCCGCAGGUGAGCCAGAUUGCGGAAGAUGGAGGAAUUAAUGGGAUUGGAGACAGAAAUUUACUGUUUGAUGGUCCUGAGGGAGUCUAACAAGUUAGCAGAAAUGGAAGAACCACCCUUGCUUCCAGGAGAAAAUAUUAAAGACAUGGCCAAAGAUGUAACUUAUAUAUGUCCAUUCACUGGCGCUGUACGAGGAACUCUGACUGUCACGAAUUAUAGGUUAU